AAUUUUAAAUUUUCAAUAAAUACCAUAAGCAAGAACUAGUUAUUAUUAGACAACAAAAGUGAUCCCCCAACAUUAGACAAGGAAGUUUUGUGCAAGGGAAAACAUUACCCGCCGCUCGUGUAAUGUGACUUGAAGACAGUGAGUAAUAGAUAGAUCUCCUACAUGAAACGAUAAGUAUAUCUCAAGAAGCAACUAGGAAUUAAGAAGCAUCACCAUGCAUCUAGCCAACUAUUGUACUUUGCAAUAUAUCUUAACCUAACUUUGUAACUUUUAUCUGUGUAAGUAGAUGCGCAAUUGCAUCUCCCUAUAAGUUUAGCUAAGAUUAGUCGUUGGGAUUUGGGCUGGGGUUAGGUUUUGGUUUGGUUCCUUGUUUACCAGCUGAAUAUAAUUGGACGCAAUUGAGGAUGGUUCAGGAUUUCAAUGGAUCAAAAGAAGUUUUGAACAUUGGGCCUUAUGAAAAGCCCUUACAGCCCAUAAGCGCUAGGGUUUCCGCGUAAAACCUUCGAUUCGCCGCCGUUGGGGACCUUUAUAUACAAAACCACACAUGGCUGGUAGAUUCAUCAGCUCUUAUCGACGACACAACCUGAGUAUAGGGUUCUCUGUUCAACUUCUUUUGUCAUAUUCAAUUGUUUUCUGCUAUGUAGAUCUUAGAGCAUCCUCAUUGCAAGGGUUGUUGCACAAAUCUUAAGGUAAGAUUUGUGAAGAAAAAAACUUAUAUAAGGAUUUUUCUUCACAAAUCUUAAGGUAAGAUUUGUGCAAGAACCCUUGCAAUGAGGAUGACCUUAGGUUUUCGAGUUUUGACGUUGGUCUGUCUUGUCUUAAGUCUUGAUAAUGCAAAAGUUAGAUCAGGUGAUGAGUAAAUACUGCAACAAUAUGAUGGAGAAAUCUUCAUGAUUAUUAGUAUUUAAGUCUCUGAUGAUCUAAAUCGUUUUAAAUCGAUCCCCUAUGUUCGUACUAUCGUCUUCAUCGAUCUGAGAUCUUCUCAAUU
rnacentral:lncRNA from 1 species